rnacentral:rRNA from 1 species
GCGGGCCCGCCUCACGGCCGCCGGGGGGCAUCCGCCCCCGGGCCCGCGCCCGCCGAAGACACCUGUGAACUCUGUCUGAAGUUGCAGUCUGAGAAACUAUUUAAAUUAGUUAAAACUUUCAACAACGGAUCUCUUGGUUCCGGCAUCGAUGAAGAACGCAGCGAAAUGCGAUAAAUAAUGUGAAUUGCAGAAUUCAGUGAAUCAUCGAGUCUUUGAACGCACAUUGCGCCCUCUGGUAUUCCGGAGGGCAUGCCUGUCCGAGCGUCAUUGCUGCCCUCAAGCACGGCUUGUGUGUUGGGCCCCGUCCCCCCCCUCCCGGGGGGACGGGCCCGAAAGGCAGCGGCGGCACCGCGUCCGGUCCUCGAGCGUAUGGGGCUUUGUCACCCGCUCUUGUAGGCCCGGCCGGCGCUUGCCGACCCCCUCAAUCUAUUUUUCAGGUUGACCUCGGAUCAGGUAGGGAUACCCGCUGAACUUAAGCAUAUCAAUAAGCGGAGGAAAAGAAACCAACCGGGAUUACCCUAGUAACGGCGAGUGAAGCGGUAAGAGCUCAAAUUUGAAAGCUGGCCCCUUCGGGGUCCGCAUUGUAAUUUGCAGAGGAUGCUUCGGGAGCGGUCCCCAUCUAAGUGCCCUGGAACGGGCCGUCAUAGAGGGUGAGAAUCCCGUAUGGGAUGGGGUGCCCGCGCCCGUGUGAAGCUCCUUCGACGAGUCGAGUUGUUUGGGAAUGCAGCUCUAAUUGGGUGGUAAAUUUCAUCUAAAGCUAAAUAUUGGCCGGAGACCGAUAGCGCACAAGUAGAGUGAUCGAAAGAUGAAAAGCACUUUGAAAAGAGAGUUAAAAAGCACGUGAAAUUGUUGAAAGGGAAGCGCUUGCGAUCAGACUCGCUCGCGGGGUUCAGCCGGCCUUCGGGCCGGUGUACUUCCCCGCGGGCGGGCCAGCGUCGGUUUGGGCGGCCGGUCAAAGGCCCCUGGAA